CUCCAGUUAGCGUUAGCGUUUGUCUGCCUGUCGGUUUUUGGAUUAUUUGGAGCUGUUGCUCUUGGAUUUAUCUGCCUACAGAGAUUAGCCCUGCUGCCACUAGCGAGUCAGCCAUUAGCGCGUCUGCACUGCUGUGGGACUCUGUCAUCUGUUUCAUACAGUUCUUGUGGAUAUUGAGUUCCCUGUUUUGGCAGGAUCGGCUGUUUCUCCAGCUGUGACUGUCCCUUCAGUGCUGCUUGGUGCGUCCGUGUUGGAGCUGUCACUGCGCACUCUGGCUGCCUGCCUACAGUCAAAACCAAACAUAUAUUAAAGUCUGCUGCACCAGUUCACAUGCUAGGUCCAGCACAAACCCCACAGGAGGACACUCACAGAACGGAGGGUCUGGUCACUCUGCUUGAUGACCUCCUGGAUCUGUCUCAGCACUGUAACCUUCGUGUGCUCCAGCUCCUGCUGCUGCUGUGUGGCGUCCGCA